rnacentral:rRNA from 1 species
UACAGAGGUCUCAAGCGUUGUUCGGAUUCAUUGGGCGUAAAGGGUGCGUAGGCGGCGCGGUAAGUCGGGUGUGAAAUCUCGGAGCUUAACUCCGAAACUGCAUUCGAUACUGCCGUGCUUGAGGACUGGAGAGGAGACUGGAAUUUACGGUGUAGCGGUGAAAUGCGUAGAUAUCGUAAGGAAGACCAGUGGCGAAGGCGGGUCUCUGGACAGUUCCUGACGCUGAGGCACGAAGGCCAGGGGAGCAAACGGGAUUAGAACCUACCGAGUCAG